rnacentral:rRNA from 1 species
CUACGGGCCGCUGCAGUGGGGAAUAUUGCACAAUGGAGGAAACUCUGAUGCAGCAACGCCGCGUGGAGGAUGACACUUUUCGGAGCGCAAACUCCUUUUAUAUAGGAAGAAGAUGACGGUACUAUAUGAAUAAGCGCCGGCUAACUCCGUGCCAGCAGCCGCGGUAAUACGGAGGGCGCAAGCGUUACUCGGAAUCACUGGGCGGAAAGAGCGUGUAGGCGGAUUAAAAAGUCAGAAGUGAAAUCCUAUAGCUUAACUAUAGAACUGCUUCUGAAACUCUUAAUCUAGAAUAUGGGAGAGGUAGAUGGAAUUUCUGGUGUAGGGGUAAAAUCCGUAGAGAUCAGAAGGAAUACCGAUUGCGAAGGCGAUCUACUAGAACAUUAUUGACGCUGAGACGCGAAAGCGUGGGGAGCAAACAGGAUUAGAUACCCGCGUAGUC